rnacentral:rRNA from 1 species
CGCUGGCGGCGUGCCUAACACAUGCAAGUCGAGCGAGGAGAUUCCUUCGGGAUGAUCCUAGCGGCGGACGGGUGAGUAACACGUGGGCAACCUGCCUCAUAGAGAGGAAUAGCCUUCCGAAAGGGAGAUUAAUACCUCAUAACAUUGCAGUUUCGCAUGGAACAGCAAUUAAAGGAGCAAUCCGCUAUGAGAUGGGCCCGCGGCGCAUUAGCUAGUUGGUGAGGUAACGGCUCACCAAGGCGACGAUGCGUAGCCGACCUGAGAGGGUGAUCGGCCACAUUGGGACUGAGACACGGCCCAGACUCCUACGGGAGGCAGCAGUGGGGAAUAUUGCACAAUGGGGGAAACCCUGAUGCCAGCAACGCCGCGUGAGUGAUGACGGCCUUCGGGUUGUAAAGCUCUGUCUUCAGGGACGAUAAUGACGGUACCUGAGGAGGAAGCCACGGCUAACUACGUGCCAGCCGCCGC